rnacentral:rRNA from 1 species
CAGCAGCCGCGGGAAUACAGAGGGUGCGAGCGUUAAUCGGAUUUACUGGGCGUAAAGCGUGCGUAGGCGGCUAAUUGAGUCGGAUGUGAAAUCCCCGAGCUUAACUUGGGAAUUGCAUUCGAUACUGGUUAGCUAGAGUGUGGGAGAGGAUGGUAGAAUUCCAGGUGUAGCGGUGAAAUGCGUAGAGAUCUGGAGGAAUACCGAUGGCGAAGGCAGCCAUCUGGCCUAACACUGACGCUGAGGUACGAAAGCAUGGGGAGCAAACAGGAUUAGAGACCCGUGUAGUCCCUGUCUCUUAUAU